rnacentral:tRNA from 2 species
GCCCCUGUAGCGCAAUGGUAGCGCGUGAGACUGUAAAUCUCAAGGUUGCGGGUUCGACCCCCGCCAGGGGUU